rnacentral:tRNA from 1 species
AUAAAGCAAGGCACUGAAAAUGCCUAGAUGAGUGUAUUAACUCCAUAAACA